AGCAGUGGGGAAUUUUGGACAAUGGGCGCAAGCCUGAUCCAGCAAUGCCGCGUGAGCGAAGAAGGCCUUCGGGUUGUAAAGCUCUUUUGUCAGGGAAGAAACGGUGAAGGCUAAUAUCCUUUGCUAAUGACGGUACCUGAAGAAUAAGCACCGGCUAACUACGUGCCAGCAGCCGCGGUAAUACGUAGGGUGCAAGCGUUAAUCGGAAUUACUGGGCGUAAAGCGUGCGCAGGCGGUUUUGUAAGUUUGUCGUGAAAGCCCCGGGCUCAACCUGGGAAUUGCGAUGAAGACUGCAAGGCUUGAAUCUGGCAGAGGGGGGUAGAAUUCCACGUGUAGCAGUGAAAUGCGUAGAGAUGUGGAGGAACACCGAUGGCGAAGGCAGCCCCCUGGGUCAAGAUUGACGCUCAUG
rnacentral:rRNA from 1 species